CGUUCUCGGGGCGGGGUGCAAUUCCCCACCGGCGGUAAUGACGAGAGUCUAAGCCCGCGAGCGCCCACUUCGGUGGGGUCAGCAGAUCCGGUGUAAUUCCGGAGCCGACGGUGAUAGUCCGGAUAUGAGAGAGC
rnacentral:ncRNA from 1 species